UACGUAGGGUGCAGGCGUUAAUCGGAAUUACUGGGCGUAAAGCGUGCGCAGGCGGUUUCUUAAGUCAGAUGUGAAAGCCCCGGGCUUAACCUGGGAACUGCGUUUGAAACUGGGAGACUUGAGUGUGGCAGAGGGGGGUGGAAUUCCACGUGUAGCAGUGAAAUGCGUAGAUAUGUGGAGGAACACCGAUGGCGAAGGCAACCCCCUGGGUUAACACUGACGCUCAUGCCCGAAAGCGUGGGGAGCAAACAGG
rnacentral:rRNA from 1 species